rnacentral:SRP_RNA from 1 species
GUUGGGUGUGGUGGCACACACCUGUAAUCCCAGUUACUUGGGAGGCUGAGGCAGGAGAAUCGCUUGAACCCAGGAGGAAGAGGUUGCAGUGAGCCGAGAUCGUGCCACUGCACUCCAGCCUGGGCGACAGAGUGAGACCCUGCCUCAA